rnacentral:rRNA from 1 species
GUGGUGGGGUAAAGCCUUACCAAGGCUACGAUCCGUAGCUGGUCUGAGACGAUGAUCAGCCACAUCGGGACUGAGACACGGCCCGAACUCCUACGGGAGGCAGCAGUGGGGAAUAUUGGACAAUGGGGGCAACCCUGAUCCAGCCAUGCCGCGUGUGUGAAGAAGGCUUUCGGGUUGUAAAGCACUUUCAGUGAGGAGGAAAAC